CCAGGUAGCUCAGUCGGUAGAGCAGUGGACUGAAAAUCCGCGUGUCGGCAGUUCGAUUCUGCCCCUGGC
rnacentral:tRNA from 1 species